rnacentral:rRNA from 1 species
CGGAGCUUGCUCCACCGGAAAAAGAAGAGUGGCGAACGGGUGAGUAACACGUGGGUAACCUGCCCWUCAGAAGGGGAUAACACUUGGAAACAGGUGCUAAUACCGUAUAACAAUCGAAACCGCAUGGUUUUGAUUUGAAAGGCGCUUUCGGGUGUCGCUGAUGGAUGGACCCGCGGUGCAUUAGCUAGUUGGUGAGGUAACGGCUCACCAAGGCCACGAUGCAUAGCCGACCUGAGAGGGUGAUCGGCCACAUUGGGACUGAGACACGGCCCAAACUCCUACGGGAGGCAGCAGUAGGGAAUCUUCGGCAAUGGACGAAAGUCUGACCGAGCAACGCCGCGUGAGUGAAGAAGGUUUUCGGAUCGUAAAACUCUGUUGUUAGAGAAGAACAAGGAUGAGAGUAACUGUUCAUCCCUUGACGGUAUCUAACCAGAAAGCCACGGCUAACUACGUGCCAGCAGCCGCGGUAAUACGUAGGUGGCAAGCGUUGUCCGGAUUUAUUGGGCGUAAAGCGAGCGCAGGCGGUUUCUUAAGUCUGAUGUGAAAGCCCCCGGCUCAACCGGGGAGGGUCAUUGGAAACUGGGAGACUUGAGUGCAGAAGAGGAGAGUGGAAUUCCAUGUGUAGCGGUGAARUGCGUAGAUAUAUGGAGGAACACCAGUGGCGAAGGCGKCUCUCUGGUCUGUAACUGACGCUGAGGCUCGAAAGCGUGKGGAGCAAACAGGAUUAGAUACCCUGGUAGUCCACGCCGUAAACGAUGAGUGCUAAGUGUUGGAGGGUUUCCGCCCUUCAGUGCUGCAGCUAACGCAUUAAGCACUCCGCCUGGGGAGUACGACCGCAAGAUUGAAACUCAAAAGAGUUGACGGGGACCCGCACAAGCGGUGGAGCAUGUGUUUCACUUCGAAGCAACGCGAAGAACCUUACCAGGUCUUGACAUCCUUUGACCACUCUAGAGAUAGAGCUUCCCCUUCGGGGGCAAAGUGACAGGUGGUGCAUGGUUGUCGUCAGCUCGUGUCGUGAGAUGUUGGGUUAAGUCCCGCAACGAGCGCAACCCUUAUUGUUAGUUGCCAUCAUUUAGUUGGGCACUCUAGCAAGACUGACCGGUGACAAACCGGAGGAAGGUGGGGAUGACGUCAAAUCAUCAUGCCCCUUAUGACCUGGGCUACACACGUGCUACAAUGGGAAGUACAACGAGUCGCGAAGUCGCGAGGCUAAGCUAAUCUCUUAAAGCUUCUCUCAGUUCGGAUUGUAGGCUGCAACUCGCCUACAUGAAGCCGGAAUCGCUAGUAAUCGCGGAUCAGCACGCCGCGGUGAAUACGUUCCCGGGCCUUGUACACACCGCCCGUCACACCACGAGA